GACGAACCGAGCGAACGUUGUUCGGAAUCACUGGGCUUAAAGGGCGCGUAGGCGGGCUGCCAAGUCCGUGGUGAAAUCCCCCGGCUCAACCGGGGAAGGGCCUCGGAUACUGGCGGCCUCGAGGGGGGUAGGGGCGUGCGGAACUGUGGGUGGAGCGGUGAAAUGCGUUGAUAUCCACAGGAACUCCGGUGGCGAAGGCGGCACGCUGGACCCUCUCUGACGCUGAGGCGCGAAAGCCAGGGGAGCGAACGGG
rnacentral:rRNA from 1 species